GUUCGCUUCAGCAGCACAUGGUAAAAUUAGGACGCUACAGAGAAGAUUAGAAUGGCCUCUGUGUAAGGAUGACAUGCAAGUUCAUGAAAUGUUCCAUAUAGAA
rfam:Canis lupus familiaris chromosome 16, whole genome shotgun sequence.